AUGAAAACGCAAACAGCUGAAGAAGGAAAGGGGGCCAAGGGCCCACUUGGAGGGGCUGGCAUGAGUCAGAUGACUUGGCCUUGGAAAGCAGAGGUAGCAUCCCUCCUGAUUUCUCCACACGUGAUGGACCAAUGCCUCCCAGCAUCUCAGGGACGUCUUUCCAUUUGCUUCCUGUAUCAUCCUGCACAUCCCCCUGCAGCUACUGCCUGCCUCCCUUCUCCCAUCACUCUCCAGCUUCCUGAGUCAUUAUACACGUGCCUCCACUUCCUCACCUCUUCACACUUUUUUUUUCAUUGUGAAGAAUAUUAUCCAUGAAAGGGUCUAAACUGUUUAAAGAAUAAUACUAAGACAAACACCAACAUACUCACUAUCUGGGUGAAAAAAUGGUAUAUUGCCAUACUUUAGAUUUCUCCUAGGUGUCCCUUUGGUCCCCUAACCCCCUCCCUUGCUGACAUAGAUAAUCAUGAUCCCAAAUCUUAUGUUAGUCAUUCUGCUGCUUUUCUUUAUAGUUUUACUACUUACCACAUUUCAUUGAACCUAAGCCCCUAACCAUUGUGAGAUGCAUCAUUAUUUCAUGUUUAAGAAAGAAAAAGGUGCUGUUAAAUGUAAUUGCAAGACACCACUGAUUGUAAGAUGCAUCCCAAUUUUAGAGAGGUUAAAGUGUGAAAAAGUGUAUUUUAGAAUCAACAAAAUAUGACCUGCAUGCAUCCCAAUGUCUUUUUCGUUGUGCUUGUUUUUGAGCUUUAUAUAAAUGGAACCACACUGUAUGAAGUCUUCUGUGAUUUGCUUAUGUCCAUAGUAAGCUUUUGAGACUCUCCCACGUGGAUGCAUGUGGCAGUGGUAUGGUCCUUUUCACUGCUGUAUAAUAUUCCACUGCAAGCUUG
rnacentral:lncRNA from 1 species